rnacentral:rRNA from 1 species
UACGUAGGUGGCAAGCGUUGUCCGGAUUCAUUGGGCGUAAAGAGCGCGCAGGCGGCUUGGUAAGUCGGAUGUGAAAUCCCGAGGCUCAACCUCGGGUCUGCAUCCGAUACUGCCCGGCUAGAGGUAGGUAGGGGAGAUCGGAAUUCCUGGUGUAGCGGUGAAAUGCGCAGAUAUCAGGAGGAACACCGGUGGCGAAGGCGGAUCUCUGGGCCUUACCUGACGCUCAGGCGCGAAAGCGUGGGGAGCGAACAGG